rnacentral:tRNA from 4 species
GGGCCUGUAGCUCAGCUGGGAGAGCGCUGCGUUCGCAUCGCAGAGGUCAAGGGUUCGAAUCCCUCCAGGUCCACCA